rnacentral:tRNA from 1 species
UGGGCUGUCGCCAAGCGGUAAGGCAACGGACUUUGACUCCGUCAUUCUCGCGCGUUCGAAUCGCGCCAGCCCAGCCA